rnacentral:rRNA from 1 species
AGCGAACGCUGGCGGCAGGCCUAACACAUGCAAGUCGAGCGCCCCGCAAGGGGAGCGGCAGACGGGAGAGUAACACGUGGGAACGUGCCCUUUGGUUCGGAACAACCCAGGGAAACUUGGGCUAAUACCGGAUAAGCCCUCACGGGGAAAGAUUUAUCGCCGAAGGAUCGGCCCGCGUCUGAUUAGCUAGUUGGUGGGGUAAUGGCCCACCAAGGCGACGAUCAGUAGCUGGUCUGAGAGGAUGAUCAGCCUCACUGGGACUGAGACACGGCCCAGACUCCGACGGGAGGCAGCAGUGGGGAAUAUUGGACAAUGGGCGCAAGCCUGAUCCAGCCAUGCCGCGUGGGUGAUGAAGGCCCUAGGGUUGUAAAGCCCUUUCGGCGGGGAAGAUAAUGACGGUACCCGCAGAAGAAGCCCCGGCUAACUUCGUGCCAGCCGCCGCAGUAAUAC